ensembl:lncRNA
GAAAAUAUUAGAAGUUUUACUGAUAUAUAUGGAAUCACUUUAGAUAUUUUUAGGAUUUUUUUGGAAGAUUUUUACUAAUUUUUUGAAAACAUUUACAAUAGUUUUUUUUUUUUUUUUUUUAAAUUUCGUACCAAAUUUGGGGUUUAAGAAAAAACUUUUAAGGGAAACUUUUAAGGAAUUAUUGGAAUUUUCUUCCUGAAGGUUUUGCAAAUUUUCAGAAAUUUGUGGAAUUUUUUUUUUGCUGAAUUUUUGGAUUUUUUCCUGACAAGGAAACAAUAUUUUUUGGUGCCCAUAAAUGAAGACAGCAGGAGGGUUAAGGUCCUCCAUGAUGGUGGAGAACACCACUAGUCUGCAUCAUGAAGAGCACCAGUGUUAUAUUAAUGUUAUAUUUAUGUUACCCACUGAACUCCUGAGCCAGAAACCAGCACACGUUUAAUAGUUGGACGGAAUCUCGUCUCUGUUGCACUCACACUGUAGCUCUGCAGUGUUUCUCCUUUCUGCUGCUCCACGUUUAAAAUGUUUGAAUGUAUUUAAAGUUCUAUGUUUAAAUAAUUCAGAAUUGUAUGUUUUCCUAGUUACAGUUGCUCCCUGUUGUGCAGGUGCAGCUCAGGUGGUUAGGGUUGGAUGAUGGAGCUUCUCAUCACCUCCAUCAGGAAACUGCAUCACAGCUCACCUGGAUAAACAGUAGGCUCUUUUUGGAGGCUCCAGCUCUGGUAUCCUGACAGCCAGACAUUUCCCUGCAGCUGAUUGGCCGAUGGUUCCAGCUGACAUGCUGCUGCAGCUUUGGAUCCAUCAUGGCCUCCUGCAGCAGCUCCAGAUACCAGAACAACGUGUGAAGUGUUUCAAAGGGAAGCUGCAGCCGUCCGACGGCUGAAUUUAAUCCUGGAAUCUUGUGGAUAAGCUUAGACUGCUGGAGGAAGCACCUGCUGGCCGGUUCCAGCGUAAACACCGAGGAGUAGAGGAUGUCAUCCGGAGACAAUAAUCAGGGGUUUCCCAUCCAGCACCGUGUUUACAGGAACAGCUGCAGAACCAGGGUGAAUGCGGAGUUUCUCAGUGAGACGGAGGACAGGAGCUGUUCCCACACAGACAGGAAGUCCAACUGGAGGACCAGAACGAGUAAAGUGCUGAGCUCAUGUGAGCUCAUUUAGAAGGAAAUACAUCUUCAGCAGCAGGUCAGUGCUGGAGGCUGCAGGAGGAGCUGCUCUACUCUCCUUCAUAUCCAGGUUAAAAACAUCUGAGGCUCCAACAGGAGAAGGAAGAAGAUUAAAGAAAGUUCUGAUCCACUGAUCUGGUCUCAGUGUUUCUACAACAUCUGGUUUCUGCUCACAUGGUGGAUGUUUGGAACUUUUACUGAGAUUAGUGAGAGGUUUAGAGGAAAAAUCUGCUCACAACUCAGAGAAUAAAACACUGGAACGCCUUCAGAGGAGUCAUAGGAGUCUUGGUGGCCUCCCUCUCUAGUCUCUUUCUCCUUCAGAGGAGUCAUAGGAGUCUUGGUGGCCUCCCUCUCUAGUCUCUUUCUCCUUCAGAGGAGUCAUAGGAGUCUUCGUGGCCUCCCUCUCUAAUCUCUCAGGUCUUGAGAAUGUCCUGCUCUAGUCAGAUUUAUUCAUGUUCUAUCUUCCUUCCAUUUCUUAAUGAUGGAUUUAACUGGACUCCAGGAGGUCUUCAGGAACUUUAAAUGUUCUUGUAUCGUCCUCACUGAUGCUUUUCAACAACUUUUUGUGAGAGUUUCUUGGUUCUUCAGUCUUCAUGGUGUAGAUCUAUCCAGGAGUUCUGAUCCACCAGAGACUGGACCUUCAGAUCCAGGAGUCUUUAUCCUCCAAUCACUGACCUCAGAUCAGCCAUGAAUGACUUCUGGACCAACUGGCUGCAGCUCAGUUCCAUCAGAGUCACAUUAACCCUUGUGUCGUCCUGCGGGUCAAAUUGACCCGUUUUAAAGUUUGAAAAUGUUCAGUUCAUUUGAGUUCAGUUCAGUUUAUUUGCCAUUUGCAGUAUAAAACCACAUUGGAAAGAGGUGCAAGAAGUUCAAAAUGCAUAUUGUCAACAUCUAAAAACAACAAAUACAGAAGAAAAUAGGACAGUAAAAAGAACAGAUGCCACAUAAAAAACUUAAAAAUAAAUACUAAGAUCCAAUAAAUAGUUCAUAAGAAAAUAAAAAAACAUGUUAGAAUCAAGGUGCAUUAUUUAAAAUCAUCACAGCUUGUGGGAAGAAGCUCUUACAAUGACGAGACGUGGUGCACUUAAUUGACCGAUAUCUUUUCCCUGAGGGCAGGACUUCAAACAUGGCCCUGGCAGGAUGGCCUGAAGAAUCAUUUACUAUCUGUAAAGCCCGGUGUAAAAGUCUCACUUUAUAUGUGGCCUCCAGGAGCAGCAAAGUGCAGCUGAUGGUCCUUCUGCUUCUGGCUGAGCGAACCACUUUGUCCAGAACCUUCUUUUCUUUCAGAGUGAGAUUACCAAACCACACAAUAGAAGAGCUGGUUGCACACCUUCAAUUGCACAAUAAUAAAAGUUUAAAAGAAUCUUUGUGUUUUGGGUAAAUUUUCUAAGUUUACACAAAAAGGAGAGGCGUUGUUUUGCCUUCUUAGCAAUGCUGGUAGUAUUUAGGUUCCAACUGAGGUCAUUUGAAAGAGUGACACCCAAGAAUUUACAAUUUUCAACAAUCUGCACCUGAGUGUCCUGAAUUGUGAUGGGCAAAAAUAUAUAUGGAAAAAAUAUAUAUAUUUUCACAGUGAAACUUCUGAUGUCCACAUUUUCAACAUUUUUGGGAAAUCUUUGAACAUUUUUGGUGGAAAAAAAGAAAUGUUAAAAAAAUGUUUCUGAAGAACAUUCACAUAAAAAUCAAC